rnacentral:tRNA from 1 species
UAAAAGGUGGCUGAGAAUUUAGGCGCUAGAUUGUAAAUCUAGAUACGAGUUAUACUCCCCUUUAA